rnacentral:rRNA from 1 species
GACAGAGGGGGCAAGCGUUGCUCGGAAUCACUGGGCGUAAAGGGCGCGUAGGCGGGAUGGCAAGUCGGUCGUGAAAUCCUUCGGCCCAACCGAAGAACGUCGGCCGAUACUGCCGUUCUUGAGGGAUGCAGAGGAGACUGGAAUUCCCGGUGUAGCGGUGAAAUGUGUAGAGAUCGGGAGGAACACCGGUGGCGAAGGCGGGUCUCUGGGACGGUACUGACGCUGAGACGCGAAAGCGUGGGGAGCGAACAGG